UCCCUCUUCCCCGCCCCGUCAGCUUUGAGAGGUUAUUUUAUAUUGAAUGACAAUAAUAACUACUAUAUAUAGAAUACUUACUACCUUUGGACAAAGCAUUUAACAUGCACAUAUUAUUUCGUUUAACCCUCACAACUGUGCCCUGAUUUCUUGCUCCCAUUCUGCAGAGGAGGAAUCUCAGGAAAACAGGUUCAAAGAGGCCAAGAAACUCGUUGCAGAGUUUUCACCCCAUUGCUCGGUGCUAUUUUCUCCUUGACUCUAUCACUGGAAACAUCGACUGAGAUCAGUAUUUGAAGGAGAAACAUGUGGAAUAAACAAUUAUGGAAGAAAAUGAGCGAGUAUGCACAGCUGACCGUGUUUUGGAAAUGGCUUGGGGACCUGUGGUGUCUGGGGUGACUGGGGAUAAGGCGCCUAGCUGCUGAGGGAGAGAGAGACUUUUCCAAACAGCCUUAGGAAGCUUCCUAUGCAAGUGUCUUAACACUCUCUGUCUUCCCCCCAGACCUUCACCAACACCUGCACUCCUCCUGAGUACUUUUGGAGUCAACUUUGUUUUCAGGAGUUCUGAAUAUGGGCUGAAACUGGCUUCAGGUAUAUGUCAGGUCAGAGCAGGACCCAGUGAGACCCAGUCCCAUUUCUGUUACAGACAGAGCAGGUAACACAUUUGGAAGCAAAGGUGAGCAUAGUCAGUGGAGAACCGAACAUUUGUAGCUUGCGUUACCUUUCUGCUAAGCUGAAUUCUUGUGAACCCAUUUCAGUUAAAAGAUUUCAUGAUACCCGAUUUCUAAGCUUGAGGGCUGAUAUUUUUCUAUACAAUUCUGUUGGGAAUCCACAACAUAACUUCCUGUUUGAUGUGACCCUGAACUUGAGGAUUCUCUGAGUUUUGAAUGAGCACUUAACCUAGUAUUGCAGUCAAGGACUGAGGACAAAGGAAUCACCAGGAAGGACAGUUGACUACUUCAUGGGGCUGUAAAGUCCAGUCUGCCCUCCAGCUUUACAGGCCCAAAAAACUCGAUUCCCAUCAGGGCCACCUAGAUGUCACCAGGCUCUCAGGCACUGGGUCUCACUUGUAUUUCCAAGUUGCAAUAUCGGGCAAGGGGAGGAUGGGGAACCUUACUGGCAAUUCUUUGACAAGCUUAAAAUAUUUCAUUUCAAUUUCUAGAUUGUUAAAUAAGUUUUAAAAAAGAGAAUCCCAACAGGAAAAGAAAAGGGAAAUCACAGCAGAUGCUACCAUCCACUAAGGAGAAACUGAGGCUGCAAGAGAACCUGGGGAAGAACUGUUGCUAUUCCCCAACCUGUGGCUUUCUUCAAUCAAAGACCUUCGCAAGUACCGGGGCACUGCCUGACAGGAAAUCACGUUAUGGGAAGAAACAACAUGGAUGACACGAAAACCCUCCGAGGAGCAUUCCCUGUGUGGCACAAUCCAUCACGCCAAGGCAAUUCAAACCACACGUCGAUGCCGUUAGCUUCAGCAACCUUCCAAAGAGCAAAAAGCACGAACCUGCAAGAGGAGAACACGCAGGUGGUUGCGUUUUAUCUCUUGUCCCCAAAGUCCUUGAGCACUGUGGAUUCCGUCCUGCUGCCCCUGAUGCCAUCCUCCCUGCCAACUGACUUGGGAGCCUGGAAGUGCAGCAGCAGCACUGGGAGCAGGUGAUGACAGUGUUGCCUGUGACUGUAGAAUGUGGGGUCCCUGCCCUGGUGCUUGGUAACCUCUGACCUUCUGUCCAUCCGUGCUAUGCAGCGUCAGCAGCACUAACAUGAAACCAAAGGCCAUGUUGGUCCCCUGGGCUCUGCCUCUUCUAUUGUCAGACACAUUUGUACUUUAGCCCUCGGGCUGGUUCUCUGUAAGAUGGUUUAAUCUGGAUUUCAAAAUAAACACCAAACAUACAUGUUCUAGGAGAUCAAAUAAAAAAUGCUCGCUUAACCCAGCUGAAUUCCUUCCCCAUUUUCCCAAAGGGAGAGUGCACAAAGAAGGGGCAUGACAGCAUUAAUGACUCUCCAGAUGAUCUCCGGUACUUUUUCUGUGGAAGGAUUAAAGGUCCCCCUGUAGUUUUGCAUUCAAAUUAACUAAUGAGGUUGAGAGCCUCCUGUCUCAGUUUCCGGUCUUUGGUCAUAAUUGCUGUUGCAGACUUAUUAAUCAUUUCCUGCAGUCUUUCCUUCUUUGGUUAUGACAAAUGUUAAUGCCUUUAAUUUCUCAUUCCUCCAUUGGGCUUGGGAUUCUGUUAAGUAAGGUUUUCUUUUUCUCUCUUCUGCCUUUCUCAGUAAUGAACAGUUUUCAUUUUCUGGAGCAGAUUGUUCUAGGUUAGUUUUUAAUUUAGACCUUCACUUUUGUUUUUCUUUGACUAUUCUAAAAAGAGUGGGAAGCCUACCACAACUGGAGCCGCAUCCAAGAAUUUGAAGCUUGUCAUGGCCUCUUCUUCAUUAUUUCCUUUGAGAGUCCCUAACUGGCUUCCAGGGGUGGGUGAGUUCCCUGAGAUUAUAUGCAACAUUUUGUGUGUUUAGGAGCAUGUGCUUCCCCCCGCCCCCUGGAAAAAGAUGUCAUAACUUUUAUCAGGUUUUCAAAUAUACAGAGGGCACCAAAAAAAUGUAUAC